rnacentral:tRNA from 1 species
GUUAGCGUAGCAAAACUAGGCAUUGCAAAAGACCUAAACCCUUUUUAUAGAGGUUCAAACCCUCUCACUAACU